ACAUUUUAUUUUCAGGUUAAUUUGUUGUUAAAGGUAGUUAAUUUUUACUUGAUAAUGAUGGUUUUUAUUUUGGUUUUCUGCAUUAAGUGUUUCCCUGCAUUUGUAAGGUACCUUGUCCUGUGUGUUCUGCCAUGUAUACAGAAGACUUCAUUGAAGUACAUGCUAGUACCUGUGGGGAAAGAAUUCAAGAUAGACCAAACAUAGAUUUGGAAAUUACAGAACAAAACGAAGACAAGCAAAACAGCCUUACAGAAUUAGUCAGCAAACUUAGAGGCAAUAGACCCUACAAGCAUUUUCAGUGUCUGUGUCACAAGGGAGGACAUGUUCAACCGAGGCUUGGCACAAUGGAAGCGGCAGAAGAAGUCCUCUCCGAAGAAUCCCCUCAGAUUUAC